UGUGUGUGUGCGCCAGGGGCAGGCCACAGCUGUUAACCUGAAUCCCUCUCUUUCUCUCUCCCUAACAUCCCCUCCUCUCUCACCUGGCUCCCCAGGCCUCCUGGCUGCUGAUGCUGCUGCUGCUGCCCAGCUGUGUGUGGCCUGCCUGGGCCAGCCUGGCCUGUGAUUACUGGCCAUCUGCAGCAGCAGGAGCCACCCUGAGGACAGACAGCUCUCUAACCCCUGCCUAAAGGCCAGCUCAUCUCUGUGGCUGAGCCCACCUGCUCAGCGUUGAGAUCGUUAUGGUGAGAACGGGUGGUGCCAGAUUACUGUGACCUGCAGCCCCCUCCAGAUGGACGCUCUCCCAGCUGGCGAACUCCUUUUAAGGAGCUCCAUUAUUACCAUGCCGCUCUUUGGUUAGGUUACACACACACACACACACACACACACACACACACACACACACACACACACACACACACACACACACACACACACACACACACACACACACACACACACACACACGGGAUGUACAGUACACAAGCACUUGCGUACAAACACACCCAUACACACAUUCCUUUGUGCCCAUCUCCUUGCCAUCUCAGAGGAGGCAGUGCGGGUGGGCUGCAGCAGCAGUAGACAGCUGGAGGGGAGAGCAGGAGGUGAACAUUUCACCAGAGGAAUGUGUGUGUAGCUGUACCUUCAACAGCAGGAGUGUUAAUGAAGCGGCCCACAGACACCCACCCACACAUUUACUCCUCACAGCGUCCCUGCCAGCCACCACCCUGCCAACCGGCUCUGUCACUCUGACUCACUCCCUGCUAUGUGUCUCAGACCUGGCUGUGCUACACGCAGGCUGAUAGGUAGCCUCUUUCCUGUAGUCAAAUCACCUGGUGGCCUCAUGGGUGGAAUAUUAUUCAUAUUUUUCAUAAUCAAUAAACAUGAUUUUUUUUAAAGAU